CCACAAUCCAUUAAUGCACUCAUUUUUUAACAGAAAGUUUUACUCAGAAAUUCUAGUAGGUAUAGUUCUAUAAGCUAGGUCUGGUAAUAUAUAUUUCUUAUUGAUAUAAAUCAGCAUAGCUUCUCUGAAGGUAUAUCUGUGUUGAUUUAUGUUUUAAUGUCUACGCUGUGAUUUUUAAUUAUGCCUUUUAACUUUAGUUGCAGGAAUUGAAAAACAAAACAUCUUCUUGAAAACAUUAUGGUUGGAAUUAGUAAUGCAAAGGCACGGAAAAGUUUCAUCUCUAACCUCAUGUGUCAGUAGCAAAAUCUGGAAGGAAGUUUGAGGUUUUCGUGUCUCCAUUCUGUUUACUGCUGAUAAGUGUAUCAGGUACCUUGAACAAAUGGCUGACUUC
rnacentral:lncRNA from 1 species